rnacentral:lncRNA from 1 species
UAAACCUGUGGCGUAUGAAAGUUCCCAGGCUAGAGGUUGAAUCAGAGCUGCAGCUGAGAGCCUAUGGCACAGCUACAGCACCAGAUCCCAGCCCCGUCAGUAACCUACACUUCGGCUUGGGGCAAGGCCAGAUCCUCAACCCAGUGAGGCAGGCCAGGAAUCAAACCCGCAUUCUCACGGAUGCCCUGUGGGGUUCUUAACCCACUGAGCCACAUUUUGGGAACUUCUAAAAGUUUUCUUAAGGUAGUUCAUUGGAUCCAAUAUAUCCAUAAUAUUUUUACUUAAACAUAUAAUCAGUAUAAAAAUGACUAAUGUGGCAUUUUACAUUAAAAAUUUUUGAUGUCUGUUUAAAUUUUUUUUUUAAAUUGAGAUAUAAUUGGCAUAUAACAUUGUGUUAUUUCAGGUAUAUAACAUAAUGAUUUUAUUUUAGUUUUGGAGCAGUUCAAUAAUUGUUUUAAUCUUGAAAGAAAUCAUCUUCGAACAAAAUGGUAACGUUUUAAGAAUUCAGAGAGUGUAAUAAAGAUGUCAGAACUGUCCAGAUGCUCAUUGUGCAAUUGGAAACCACUCAAAAGUUGACACAAGUCUCCAAAAAAGAAAAAGAAAAAAAGGUCAAUGAGCUCAUUCAUUCUUGCAACAUCUGCCAGAAGCUACGGCUNCAUUCAUUCUUGCAACAUCUGCCAGAAGCUAUGGCUUCUUCUUCUUCUUCUUCUUUUUUUUCGUCUUUUUGCCAUUUUCUUGGGCUGCUCCUGCAGCAUAUGGAGGUUCCCAGGCUAGGGGUCGAAUUGGUGCUACAGCUGCUGGCCUACACCACAGCCACAGCAAGGCCAGAUCCCCGCCCCGCUGAUGCCAGGGAUCGAACCCACAUCCUCAUGGGUAGCGGUCAGGUUUGUUUCCACUGGGCCACAACGGGAACUCUCAACAAACUUGUUUUCAGUUGAUUGUUAACUGCUGUUUGCAGGCUCAUUUACCUGGACCAUCAACUUACUGUUGCUUUUCCCUCUGCAGAAAGGCAGAAACACUCCAGAUGUCCUCCAAUAGUUACCAAGUUUCAAUCCCGAUGUCAAAAAGGAACACCAAUGGCCUGCCGGGGUCCAGCUCCAAUGAGCUGAAGACGUCUGCUGGGGGAGCUGUGUUAAGCUUUCAUGACAUCUGCUAUCGAGUGAAAGUGAAGAGUGGCUUUCUUUUUUGUCGGAAAACGGUUGAGAAGGAAAUACUGACGAACAUCAAGUACGUCGUCCAUGAACUUUUACUGAAACAGGUUCAUUGUCGUGCAGUGCGCGUCUCAGGUUUUGCUUAGUGCAGAUCAAGGUACCGGUCUGCACAGGUAGACAGACACACGCUCUUCAUUGCUUUCGGCUAAACGAGCUGAGCGGUGAGCCAGUUGGAUGAGAUGUUGGGUGUAUGUAUGUACAUGUAAGACAACUGGAGCUUAGCUCACGUCUAAGAGACGGAAGAGAGUUUAGGACCCAAAGUAACACACUCGGUUGUCUUACAGAAUUCAAGUCCGUACAAAACUAUGAUUUUUCUUCCCGCCAUCCAGCAACUGACUCAUCACAUGGUGGUGGCGUGGGCGAUAGAGGGACCCCUGAGUGUGAGAAUAAGGAGAGGAAUGGGAGGUGAAAAGCUUUUAUCUUUUGCUGCAUAUGCCCAGACUAGCAUCGACUGACCUUUCUGAAAAGCUGCCAGGUUAUUUGUGGAGCAAAGAAUGAAGAAAAGUGCUGGUCACUUGAGAUGUUUUGCUGCUAAAUGGAAGUUAGCAAAUGAUUUGCAAUAUGUGCAGGUUGAGUAAAUUGAAUAUAUUACUGCUCGAGGGUAUAUUUGUCUUGCUUAUGUUUUGUUUGUUUGUUUGUUUGUCUUUUUUGCCAUUUCUGGGGCUGCACCCGAGGCGUAUAGAGGUUCCCAGGCCAGGGGUCCAAUCAGAACUGCAGCCGCUGGCCUACACCACAGCCCACUGAGCAAGGACGGGGAUCGAACCCGCAAUCUCAUGGUUCCUAGUCGGAUUCAUUACCCACUGAGGCACGAUGGGAACUCCCUUGCUUAUGUUUUAAGGUCCAAUCAGAACUGCAGCCGCCGGCCUACACCACAGCCCACUGAGCAAGGACGGGGAUCGAACCCGCAAUCUCAUGGUUCCUAGUUGGAUUCAUUACCCACUGAGCCACGAUGGGAACUCCCUUGCUUAUGUUUUAAAGCUAGUAGUGUGUUAACUUGCUAACACUAAAGGUGUCAUCUGCUCAAGGCUUUACAGUGUUUUUAUGGUUGAGUGGUAUGCAUUUCAGCAACAGGUGAGUUCAUCCUUACACGCUUUUCUAGGUUCAUAAAAACUCAGUCAAAUCUUGUAAUCAUUUCAAAUUUUAGUAAUUAAGAGGAUGCCAGGGGUUGUUUUUCUUGCUUACUCACAUUUCUGGUGUAGGCAGUGGUGUUUCUUUUUCCUAUUUGCUGGUUUCAACUGAGUUUGUCUAGGAUGGGCAAAGGGUGCUCUCAUUUAUCUUGUUUAUUUGUUUAUUUUUUUAGGAGUGCAACUGAGGCAUAUGGAAGUUCCCAGGCUAGAGGUCAAAUCAGAACCACAGCCACAUGGAUCCAAGCCCUAUCUGCAACCUUCGUUGAAACUCAUGGCAAUGCUAGAUCCUUAACCCACUGAGCGAGGCCAGGAAUCGAACCUCCAUCCUCAUGGAUACUAGUUGGGUUUGUAACCCACUGAGCUAUAGCAGGAGCUCCGUCACUUUGUUUCUUUAUGUGCUCACUGCUGUUGAUAUUUUUCUGGACCAUGUGAGAACAGGCUGCCCAUAUGAUGUUCCAUUAUCACCACCUCCUCCAGUAAAUAUUUCUAGAGACAGGGACUCUCCCUUAUAUAACCACUCAGUCAUUGCCCGGGAGCAGUCCAGGGGUGGCCUCAGCCUGAACAUAGGGGCGGGUCCUGGGGGGCUGCUGCUCAGCCACGCUUCUCAGCACGUUGUGUCUCUUCAGUCUCAUCCACGCUGUCGUUUUUCUGUCCCAUCCCUUAACCUUGAUUACCUGCCCAGGUUGGGGUCUGCCAGCCUUCUUUAGUAUAAUGUCACCAUCAUCCCCUUUGUAAUUGAUAAAUAUUAUGAAGGGAGAUACUCUAACAUUAUUCCAU